rnacentral:rRNA from 1 species
GCCGCAGUAGCCUGACUGUGCUAAGGUAGCAUAAUCAUUAGGUUCCUAAUUAGAAUCUGGUAUGAAUGGAUGAAUGGGGAGAAGCUGUCUUCAUGCUAUUGUUUGAAGUUAAAAUUUUAGUAAGAAUGCUAGAAUGGACUUAUGGGACGAUAAGACCCUAUAAAGCUUUAUUGAAUAAUUUUAGGUAUCUUAGCUUAUCCUAAGGUAAAUUCAAUUUGACUGGGGCGGUUAGUAUUUUAACAUACUUAAAUGUUCAGGUAGUAAGGAUCCAAUACUAUUGAAGUGAGAGUAAGUUACUCUAGGGAUAACAGCAUGAUAUACCCUUGGAGUUCUAAUCGAAGGCUAUGUUUAUGACCUCGAUGUUGAAUUAAUUUGAUUAUAUGGUGAAGAAGCUAUAUGAGUUAGUCUGUUCGACUAUGAGAUAAUUACAUGAUUUGAGUUCAAACCGGUGUGAG